rnacentral:lncRNA from 12 species
CAUUGUCGAAAGUCACGAAGCCAUGGUGGUUCAGAUUCAGUAGACCCAUAUAAAAUUGUUGUUAAUGGCUGAGUGGCAGAAAUGGAGCUUGAGAAAUACAUCCCCAGAGUUUAUAUGCAAAAGGAGCCACUUUAGAGGAGGUGAGUAGAUCAAAGAAAGCUGUAUUAUUUUUAAUUAUUGUUAUUACUCAUAACAAAAUUUUGAAUUUGUGUAGUACCUUUCUUCUGAGGAGCUUGAGGCAUUUCACAUAUAUUAUCUCAUUUAUCUUUUAUAACAUCCCAGUGGGAAUAUGUAUUAUUAACUUUCUACUGCCAUGGGACUGAAUUCGUGCAAAUUCUUUUUCCUGGGAACGAAUGGAGCUGCAUCAUUAUAGAAGCAGAUGUUGGCUGGAAGUCACCCACAACUUGCUACUGAAUGAUGCUUCACAUCUACUUGGCUUUUUUUUUUCUCUCAUGUGCUAUCUAUGCUGAACAAGCCUGAGGGAUUCUUUGAUGGCGACAAAUGCACAUAAAGGUAAAAAUCUCCAUUUUUCCUUUUAAAAAAUUAUGAAUGAAUGUUGAACUGUCUCAGUGAAUGAUAUGAUUGUGCCCUAGGGAUUUAAGUGGUGUGAUACAAUUGGCUGCCAGGGGAAAGAAGGACAGUUGUGAGAAGAAUACUCUAUGUUUAUCUUCAUUCUAAUCCAAGGGGACUCAUGAUAGGCUACUCACCCAGCCUACCCACUAUUAUUAGCUGUAAGAUACAGAAGCUGAAUUUAAUCUAGUUUAAGCUACAUAUUCAUGGAAUAUGUAAGAGGACUGCUUACUGUUAUCUCUUGUUGGGAGCAGAACUUUUCUUUUACCAACUUAUGAUCAAGUACUUGGGGGCAACAGAUGUGUUAACAAA